UACGGAGGGUGCAAGCGUUAUCCGGAUUUACUGGGUUUAAAGGGUGCGUAGGUGGGUAGGUAAGUCAGUGGUGAAAUCUUCGAGCUUAACUCGGAAACUGCCAUUGAUACUAUUUAUCUUGAAUACUCUGGAGGUAAGCGGAAUAUGUCAUGUAGCGGUGAAAUGCUUAGAUAUGACAUAGAACACCAAUUGCGAAGGCAGCUUACUACAUAGUUAUUGACACUGAGGCACGAAAGCGUGGGAUCAAACAGG
rnacentral:rRNA from 1 species